rnacentral:lncRNA from 1 species
GAAUCUCAGCCUCUGACUUUUCAUGUCACCUCCUUGCACCUUCUUAACGAGGACUCGGGCUGCUGGGGCCAGUGGGACAAGUGACUAAGAGCCCAGCAGGGUGCCAGGUCCUGGGUCCUGGCUUGACCCUUGCCUAUGAGGGGCACCGGUUUCCCCAAGUACAGAGAGACCAGAGCAGCUGUUUCAGAGGCCUCCUACUCAUCGUUCCACGAGCAACCCUGCUUUUCCUGCAAUUCUUACUGCCCCUUCACAAGAGCUACUGCAAGGAGAAAAGGCACUCUUGGGCCAAAAGAUCGAAAAGCCCUGGACGUGGUCAUCCAUUGCUUGGUUCAAUCAUUCAUUUAGUGAACCUGUCUGUCCUGGUGUUCUCCUAUGGACCAGGCUGGGCUUCACAGUAGACACCACUGAUCAGACACAGCUCCUGCCCACAGGAAGCCCACAGUCUGGGAAGGGGAGGCAGACACGUGGACCGACAUCCUUGACAUAUGGGGCCAGGUGGUGUCAGGAUGGAGCCCAAGCCUGUCUCUGCCAGUCCCGGAAGUGGGUGAGGUGGAGCUGGAACAGUGUAUUAGAUGCCCCUGGAGGUGGGGAAGGAGAACAGGGCCAUGGAUUUUGAGGAAGGACUCUGCUUAACCCAGUCUGGGUGGUCUUUCUCUCCUCAAGUUAGUGAGGCCUUUGAUGCUAAGGCUUGAGGAGGGUGCAGGACUUCCUUUCGCUGGUCUGAGGGCGGCCACUGACAGAUGCUCUCCUUGGCCACAAUUUGGGCAGGCUCUCGCGAGAUCUUUUCUCAACCAGGGCUCCACAUGCGGGUUUCCGUUGCCCCGUUUUAGCAAGAAUCCUGCUACGUCAGUUCAUUGAGCACCCCCACCCACCCCUGGUAUCUGAUCAAAUCUCUCCUCCUCCACCCUUCCCCCCCCCCGNNNNNNNCCCUCCUUCUCCACGAAUCCUGUUUGGUCAGUUCAGCAGGAAUUUCCUACCCUCUCAGCAAUUUUCCAUCCCUCCCUCCAACUCCUGCUAUAAAUCCCCACUUUAGAAAACGCAGGAUUUCACAGCACUGCAGAGCAGAAACUAACACAAGAUUGUAAAGCAACUAUACUCCAGUGAGAAAUAGACAGGAAACUGAAGAUUCGAAAUCGUAUUUGGAAUUGAGCCCAAAUCUAUACUGUCUCCUGUUGCAAGAGUUUUUGAAUAAAAAUCUGUUUUGGCCGCAUUACAGUCCAUCUCUGGUUUGCUAGGAGCUGUGACUCACAUGGAGGAGUCAGAUUCACCACUGGACCCUGGGAUCUCUGCCAACUAAAAGCUGUCACUUGCCAUGUGCUUCCAUAAGAAGGAAGUCACUAGACACCACAGCCGCAGACUUUCAACACUCCCNNNNNNNNNNNNNNNNNNNAAAUGAGCCUCAGGAAGGAGGCUUUCUGUGCUCUGGGAAAAAGUGGCAGAACAGGUCUUCAGAUAGCUAGAUAUUUUCAGGAGAAGAUUUUACGAGCCCAAUUUCUAGCAUCUUCUCAUAUCUAGAAAAGCGCUAAAAUCACUUAUGGACACGCCUGCGCCUCAUAACUAAACAGCAACCUUCUUGACUAACAGGAACAUUUGUUAAAAUGUAUGCUUGAUGGUGCAUAACUCCCUUCACCAAAAUCACAUAUAUUCUGACGCCUUCCCUCUUUAACUCUUUGGAGCAUUUCCUCAGCACUAUUUCAGACGCUACAGUUCGCAUUUCACCCCCAAUAAAACUUAACUCGCAUCUCUCACACUGUGCCUUUUAAAAAAUUCGACACCUCUCCCUUUCAGUGGGAAAGCAUAGUACAGCCUCCUGGGUUAUUAUAUCAAAGUCCUAUUCAUGGUCUUUGAGCCAUUUUUCCCUUCUUGAUUAGACUCCAUUUGCCUUUAUGCUUUGUUAUCUGCCUUUAAACCCAAACAGGUUCUGCCAUCCUGCACACUUUAUUAAUUCUUCUAGUUUUCUCCAAAAAUGUGGCUACAACUCUUCAAAUGAAUGUUUCCAAUUUUUGUCUCGUCCCUCUUGACUUGGAGUCACUGGGAACUAAACCCAACUGUCCAGAAACUUAUAGGAACUUUCUAAAGAAGCCUUGUGACCUGAAGCUGGAUGCAUCCAUGCUCAAGACACAAACGUGACCGUGACACUAUUGUCUGUGCCAUCAACAAAGAUGCUUCAAACUGCAAACCAGGAAGAUCAACGGGUUGCCACUGCCUCCUCACUUCACCAUCUAGAGAUGCUUCAAGUCCAGCAUCUCAGUUGGCUGCCCUCUGGACUUAGAAACUAAGUUUAAUUGCUCUACUCAUUAAUCUCUGUUUUUCUUUUCUCUCUUUUUUUUAAUAGAAAUCACCCCUCGUUUAAAUGUUUGAUGGUUCGUUCACACCAUCCAGAAAAUACCCUUUACUGCCAAGUCUCAACAGAUGGUUCCACUGGUCACUAAUGAACAAAAAAUGAUCAUUUGAUAAAUGAACUGCUGAAAAAAGUUUGCUAUGACCAGUGCGUUCUCUUGGCAGA